AAAAAGAAGCUAGCUAGCAAUAAAUCAUAGUCAAGGGAGGAUUCAAAGUCUUAUUAGAAUGUACCGAGGAACUAUUGUUUCGUUUGUGAGUUAGAAAAUUCAUUUGUGAAAUGCUCCUGUUUGCAAUCUCAUUUAUGAUAAGAAAUUGGCAAAUUGAACCUAUUUUUCUCUCUCCUUAUCUGCAAAACUAUUCCAACCUAAGCUAUCUAUAAAUGGCCUAAUUGCUUCUUGCAGGCUGUGUUCCUGUGUAGUUCUAAACUUAAUGUACUGCUGGAUCUGCCUAUUUACCAUCUGUAUUUUGAUAUUUUAAAGCUGAGGGUUUAUUUUUUUGUUGCAUUUAGAAUUCAAGUUUUAAUUAUCAAGAACUUGAAGAUUUUGUUUGAUUAAGGCGUGGCGCUGAAUUGCUGAUACAGCUAUAAAGGGUCAAAACUGUGGGAGAAGAUCAUGAUAUGUAAGAAUUUUUUUAAGAAGGCUGCCAAGGAUGUACAUUGCAUGAGUUGUACUUCAAUGGUGCAACGAUGCAUUUCGUAGCAACGACCUAGGAGGCUGGAUAAGGUGGGUGGAGACCGAUAGUGAGGACAAUAUUGGAGACCAUUUUGGAUAUCGAGAUGAAGAAUCUUACCAUUGUAAGGGAUAGAACUGUAUAGUUGUAUAGGAGUGGAAAUUCUCUUCUUAGUCUUGGUUUUGAACUUUAUAUUGGCCGUCCUUUAGUUAUCAGUUGUAAGUAAUGGUAAAGGAAAUGGAUUUAACUAUUUAAGUGUAAUUAACAUCUACGGUAAUGCACAAGUGAUGCUCCUAAAAAUUUAUGUUGAAGAAUUUGGUAAAGUAGAUAUGGCCAUAUGGGCUUUGGCUGAGAAUUGUCUAAAACUUGAUUAGAUUUCUUAUUUUCUUUGCCUAAA